GACGAACGCUGGCGGCGUGCUUAACACAUGCAAGUCGAACGGAAAGGCCCUGCUUUUGUGGGGUGCUCGAUUGGCGAACGCGUGAGUAACACGUGAGUAUCCUGCCCUUGUCUUUGGGAUAACUUCAGGAAACUGGGGCUAUUACCGGAUAGGAUCUCCUGCUGCAUGGUGGGGGUUGGAAAGUUUCGGCGGUUGGGGAUGGACUCGCGGCUUAUCCGCUUGUUGGUGGGGUAGUGGCUUACCAAGGCUUUGACGGGUAGCCGGCCUGAGAGGGUGACCGGCGACAUUGGGACUGAGAUACGGCCCAGACUCCUACGGGAGGCAGCAGUGGGGAAUAUUGCAGAAUGGGCGGAAGCCUGAUGCAGCAACGCCGCGUGCGGGAUGACGGCCUUCGGGUUGUAAACCGCUUUGGCAGGUGACGAAGCGUGAGUGACGGUAAUGGGUAAAGAAGCACCGGCUAACUACGUG
rnacentral:rRNA from 1 species